GAUGAUUGCAAACUGAAGAACAGUCCUUGGACAAAGCAUUAAACCCUCUUGGUCCCCACUACACAGACUAAUGACGUUGAAGUACCCAAAUGAAGACACUAGCAGUGUUAUUAUGGAGUAUAUGGAUACAGACGUUGGCAGCACUCAGGAGGUGUUCCAGAGGAAUCAUGGGAAUCUAUGUCAUACGAUUUGAAGGUGCAGACAUUGAAGACAGCACAGCAGAUGUUGGAGUGUUGGAAGAUAAAGUUCUUCAGGACCUUAGCAGUAAACCCUAUGAAAAAACAUGUUGCUGGGACUGAUAUAUGGACUAAACUUGAACUCCUGAAAUCAGGUACACAUUUGGAGUAUUGCAGAAGUUAUUUCUGGAGCCAGUUCCUGUUCCUGGAUUAAGGUUUGAUUGGUUACCUUUAUAUGCCAAUUAGAAAAUGACAGUAGUUUAAUAUUUCUGUAAUUUUGUAAUGUGGUUGUAACUGUAAUUGUUGCUCUUGUUUAACAAAUACACUUGAUAAUUUGUGA